rnacentral:rRNA from 1 species
GAUGAACGCUGGCGGCGUGCCUAAUACAUGCAAGUUGAGCGAAUGGAUUAAGAGCUUGCUCUUAUGAAGUUAGCGGCGGACGGGUGAGUAACACGUGGGUAACCUGCCCAUAAGACUGGGAUAACUCCGGGAAACCGGGGCUAAUACCGGAUAACAUUUUGAACCGCAUGAUUCGAAAUUGAAAGGCGGCUGCGGCUGUCACUUAUGGAUGGACCCGCGUCGCAUUAGCUAGUUGGUGAGGUAACGGCUCACCAAGGCAACGAUGCGAAGCCGACCUGAGAGGGUGAUCGGCCACACUGGGACUGAGACACGGCCCAGACUCCUACGGGAGGCAGCAGUAGGGAAUCUUCCGCAAUGGACGAAAGUCUGACGGAGCAACGCCGCGUGAGUGAUGAAGGCUUUCGGGUCGUAAAACUCUGUUGUUAGGGAAGAACAAGUGCUAGUUGAAUAAGCUGGCACCUUGACGGUACCUAACCAGAAAGCCACGGCUAACUACGUGCCAGCCGCCGCGGUAA